CACUAUCGUUAACUGAAUACAUAGGUUAACGAGGCGAACCGGGGGAACUGAAACAUCUAAGUACCCCGAGGAAAAGAAAUCAACCGAGAUUCCCCCAGUAGCGGCGAGCGAACGGGGAGCAGCCCAGAGUCUGAAUCAGCUUGUGUGUUAGUGGAACGGUCUGGAAAGUCCGACGGUACAGGGUGAUAGUCCCGUACACCAAAAUGCACAGGCUGUGAACUCGAAGAGUAGGGCGGGACACGUGGUAUCCUGUCUGAAUAUGGGGGGACCAUCCUCCAAGGCUAAAUACUCCUGACUGACCGAUAGUGAACCAGUACCGUGAGGGAAAGGCGAAAAGAACCCCGGCGAGGGGAGUGAAAAAGAACCUGAAACCGUGUACGUACAAGCAGUGGGAGCCUCUUUAUGGGGUGACUGCGUACCUUUUGUAUAAUGGGUCAGCGACUUAUAUUCUGUAGCAAGGUUAACCGUAUAGGGGAGCCGCAGGGAAACCGAGUCUUAACUGGGCGUUAAGUUGCAGGGUAUAGACCCGAAACCCGGUGAUCUAGCCAUGGGCAGGUUGAAGGUUGGGUAACACUAACUGGAGGACCGAACCGACUAAUGUUGAAAAAUUAGCGGAUGACUUGUGGCUGGGGGUGAAAGGCCAAUCAAACCGGGAGAUAGCUGGUUCUCCCCGAAAGCUAUUUAGGUAGCGCCUCGUGAACUCAUCUUCGGGGGUAGAGCACUGUUUCGGCUAGGGGGUCAUCCCGACUUACCAACCCGAUGCAAACUACGAAUACCGAAGAAUGUUAUCACGGGAGACACACGGCGGGUGCUAACGUCCGUCGUGAAGAGGGAAACAACCCAGACCGCCAGCUAAGGUCCCAAAGUCAUGGUUAAGUGGGAAACGAUGUGGGAAGGCCCAGACAGCCAGGAUGUUGGCUUAGAAGCAGCCAUCAUUUAAAGAAAGCGUAAUAGCUCACUGGUCGAGUCGGCCUGCGCGGAAGAUGUAACGGGGCUAAACCAUGCACCGAAGCUGCGGCAGCGACACUAUGUGUUGUUGGGUAGGGGAGCGUUCUGUAAGCCUGUGAAGGUGGCCUGUGAGGGCUGCUGGAGGUAUCAGAAGUGCGAAUGCUGACAUAAGUAACGAUAAAGCGGGUGAAAAGCCCGCUCGCCGGAAGACCAAGGGUUCCUGUCCAACGUUAAUCGGGGCAGGGUGAGUCGACCCCUAAGGCGAGGCCGAAAGGCGUAGUCGAUGGGAAACAGGUUAAUAUUCCUGUACUUGGUGUUACUGCGAAGGGGGGACGGAGAAGGCUAUGUCAUCCGGGCGACGGUUGUCCCGGUUUAAGCAUGUAGGCUGGUUAUCCAGGCAAAUCCGGAUAAUCAAGGCUGAGGUGUGAUGACGAGGUACCACGGUACUGAAGUGACAGAUGCCCUGCUUCCAGGAAAAGCCUCUAAGCAUCAGGUAACAUCAAAUCGUACCCCAAACCGACACAGGUGGUCAGGUAGAGAAUACCAAGGCGCUUGAGAGAACUCGGGUGAAGGAACUAGGCAAAAUGGUGCCGUAACUUCGGGAGAAGGCACGCUGGUGUGUAGGUGAAGUCCCUGCGGAUGGAGCUGAGACCAGUCGAAGAUACCAGCUGGCUGCAACUGUUUAUUAAAAACACAGCACUGUGCAAACACGAAAGUGGACGUAUACGGUGUGACGCCUGCCCGGUGCCGGAAGGUUAAUUGAUGGGGUUAUCCGUAAGGAGAAGCUCUUGAUCGAAGCCCCGGUAAACGGCGGCCGUAACUAUAACGGUCCUAAGGUAGCGAAAUUCCUUGUCGGGUAAGUUCCGACCUGCACGAAUGGCGUAAUGAUGGCCAGGCUGUCUCCACCCGAGACUCAGUGAAAUUGAACUCGCUGUGAAGAUGCAGUGUACCCGCGGCAAGACGGAAAGACCCCGUGAACCUUUACUAUAGCUUGACACUGAACAUUGAGCCUUGAUGUGUAGGAUAGGUGGGAGGCUUUGAAGCGUGGACGCCAGUCUGCGUGGAGCCAACCUUGAAAUACCACCCUUUAAUGUUUGAUGUUCUAACGUUGGCCCCUUAUCGGGGUUGCGGACAGUGUCUGGUGGGUAGUUUGACUGGGGCGGUCUCCUCCCAAAGCGUAACGGAGGAGCACGAAGGUUAGCUAAUCCUGGUCGGACAUCAGGAGGUUAGUGCAAUGGCAUAAGCUAGCUUGACUGCGAGCGUGACGGCGCGAGCAGGUGCGAAAGCAGGUCAUAGUGAUCCGGUGGUUCUGAAUGGAAGGGCCAUCGCUCAACGGAUAAAAGGUACUCCGGGGAUAACAGGCUGAUACCGCCCAAGAGUUCAUAUCGACGGCGGUGUUUGGCACCUCGAUGUCGGCUCAUCACAUCCUGGGGCUGAAGUAGGUCCCAAGGGUAUGGCUGUUCGCCAUUUAAAGUGGUACGCGAGCUGGGUUUAGAACGUCGUGAGACAGUUCGGUCCCUAUCUGCCGUGGGCGCUGGAGAAUUGAGGGGGGCUGCUCCUAGUACGAGAGGACCGGAGUGGACGCAUCACUGGUGUUCGGGUUGUCAUGCCAAUGGCACUGCCCGGUAGCUAAAUGCGGAAGAGAUAAGUGCUGAAAGCAUCUAAGCACGAAACUUGCCCCGAGAUGAGUUCUCCCUGAGACUAUAAGUCUCCUGAAGGAACGUUGAAGACGACGACGUUGAUAGGCCGGGUGUGUAAGCGCAGCGAUGCGUUGAGCUAACCGGUACUAAUGAACCGUGAGGCUUAACCUU
rnacentral:rRNA from 1 species